rnacentral:rRNA from 1 species
AUACGGAGGAUGCAAGCGUUAUCCGGAUUUAUUGGGUUUAAAGGGUGCGCAGGCGGCGCGUUAAGUCAGUGGUGAAAUGUCCCGGCUCAACCGGGGAACUGCCGCUGAUACUGACGUGCUCGAGUACGGACGGCGCCGGCGGAAUGUGUCAUGUAGCGGUGAAAUGCUUAGAUAUGCCACAGAACACCGAUCGCGAAGGCAGCUGGCGAGGCCGGUACUGACGCUCAGGCACGAAAGCGUGGGGAUCAAACAGGAUUAGAUACCCUGGUAGUCCACGCAGUAAACGAUGAGGACUUGUUGUCGGCGAUAGAGUGUCGGUGACAAAGCGAAAGCGAUAAGUCCUCCACCUGGGGAGUACGAUCGCAAGGUUGAAACUCAAAGGAAUCGGCGGGG